rnacentral:rRNA from 1 species
ACCCUGACCCAGCGACGCCGCGUGCGNGAGGAAGCCCUUCGGGGUGUAAACCNCUGUCAGAGGGGAAGAAAGUUUNGGGUGGCGAAUAGUCACCCGAAGCGACGGUACCCUCAAAGGAAGCGCCGGCUAACUCUGUGCCAGCAGCCGCGGUAAGACAGAGGGCGCGAGCGUUGUUCGGAAUUACUNGGGCGUAAAGCGCGCGUAGGCGGCCCUUAAAGUCGCAAGUGAAAUUUCGCAGCUCAACUGCGAAGCUGCUUGCGAGACUUNUGGGCUAGGGACCGGUAGAGGCCGGUGGAAUUGCUGGUGUAGCGGUGAAAUGCGUAGAGAUCAGCAAGAACACCCGUGGCGAAGGCGGCCGGCUGGGCCGAGUCCGACGCUGAGGCGCGAAAGCGUGGGGAGCAAACAGGAUUAGAUACCCUGGUAGUCCACGCCGUAAACGAUGGGCACUAGGUGCUGCGGGGAGCGACCCCGGCAGUGCCGCAGCUAACGCGAAAGUCCCC